GUGAUGUCUUGUUCUUGGAAAGUGGUUGCUUAGUUUCAUCCUUUAUUUAGUGGAGCUACCUUACUUCUGAAAGAAGCUACAGCACAUAUGACAGCACCAUCAAUGGCACUGAUCCAAGGGCUUUCUUUUCUUUGUUUAGAAAGUGUAGACAACCUGUCACGUGAAGCAAAAUAAAUACCCCAUGAGGCCCCCUGUUUCUAAGUUAAAAGAGAAUUUAAAAUAUUGGAUAAUCAUUGAAACAUUCAAAAUUAUUCAUCUAUAAGUUAUUCUACUGGACUUGCUUCUCCUCUUCAAUUUCAUCUUUUUGCUUCUGCUAGCAGCUUGCAAGUGUCUUUCAUAGGCAGUGUUUGCUGUUCAGGUAUGUCCUGCUAUUUACUACUGCUUUGUAUUUAAAUAAUACAAAAUGUAUGUUGAGCACACAAAUAAAGCAAUAAUUUCUUACACCAGGGCAACAACAGCAGUCAUUGUCAAGGAAAGUUUUGGAACAUCACAAGCAGUGUGA
rnacentral:lncRNA from 1 species